AGAAGAUUAGCUUACAGAAAGCAAAAGAUUUCGGCUCUUUAGACCCUGUUCUCACCAGGAUCUUCUU
rnacentral:tRNA from 1 species